GGUUGAAUGUUCCUGGUGUUGCAUUCUUUAAACUUGCAUCACCGGGUAAACAUUCAUCCCC
rnacentral:pre_miRNA from 1 species